GGCGCAGUGGCGGAGUGGUCUAACGCGUGAGACUUGAAAUCUCAUUCCCUUGGGAGCGUCUGUUCGAAUCAGGCCUGCGUCG
rnacentral:tRNA from 1 species